rnacentral:rRNA from 1 species
GCGGCGUGCCUAAUACAUGCAAGUCGAACGCUUCUUUCCUCCCGAGUGCUUGCACUCAAUUGGAAAGAGGAGUGGCGGACGGGUGAGUAACACGUGGGUAACCUACCCAUCAGAGGGGGAUAACACUUGGAAACAGGUGCUAAUACCGCAUAACAGUUUAUGCCGCAUGGCAUAAGAGUGAAAGGCGCUUUCGGGUGUCGCUGAUGGAUGGACCCGCGGUGCAUUAGCUAGUUGGUGAGGUAACGGCUCACCAAGGCCACGAUGCAUAGCCGACCUGAGAGGGUGAUCGGCCACACUGGGACUGAGACACGGCCCAGACUCCUACGGGAGGCAGCAGUAGGGAAUCUUCGGCAAUGGACGAAAGUCUGACCGAGCAACGCCGCGUGAGUGAAGAAGGUUUUCGGAUCGUAAAACUCUGUUGUUAGAGAAGAACAAGGACGUUAGUAACUGAACGUCCCCUGACGGUAUCUAACCAGAAAGCCACGGCUAACUACGUGCCAGCAGCCGCGGUAAUACGUAGGUGGCAAGCGUUGUCCGGAUUUAUUGGGCGUAAAGCGAGCGCAGGCGGUUUCUUAAGUCUGAUGUGAAAGCCCCCGGCUCAACCGGGGAGGGUCAUUGGAAACUGGGAGA